AGUCUAAGUAGGCUGAGUUUCUCCCCUCACUUCCCUCAGCCUCAUAACACCUCCCUUGGGGGUAUUAUUUAAAUGGAAGCUUUCCAGGACUGAAAUAAGAAGACAUUUCCUGGCCCCUAAGUGAGUAAUUGGCCUAGUGAAAUCUCAUUUAAGGGGUAGUAAUUAGCCAAUAGGAGACCCAGGAGGAAGCCAAGCAGCUCUAGAGGGAAGUCCCUGACAAGGGACUGCAAGUGCAGAAACAGCCCAGAGUGUGCAGACUGCCGUCUACGCAAGAGGAAGGGUCAGAGUCCUUGCAAGCCCUCUGGCAGCCUUCAGCAUCCAAUAAAUUAGAUGAACGCUUAAUGCCUCUAGCAUCCAGGCCUUGAAAAAUCUCAGAGGUUAUAAAAAUAUAUACAGUCCUUUGAAGAAAGGUUCUGGUCCACUGAUGUCAACUGAAGGUCAGAUUAUGGAAAACUGGCAUUGCUACAACAAGAAAUGAAGCCUGCUUGUGUUUUCUCUUGUUAUUUUGAAUAAAGAAUCUCACCAUGUA